rnacentral:lncRNA from 1 species
CGGAUAUAGUUUCCAUAUAAUUCAUAUCCUUGACCAAAAUGUUCAUAAGACACCUCAGAGUUCAACUGUCAACUCUGAUCAGGUUGUCCAUAUUGUAUUUCAAAAUAUCAAAUCUAUCUGAUGGAUUAUCCUGGUCAAGGUUUUGCUAAAUUGAAAUACAGUGACUCAUUCUUCUCCAACUCUUGAAGUGGUCAAUCCCAUCU